rnacentral:rRNA from 1 species
GAUGAACGCUGGCGGCGUGCCUAAUACAUGCAAGUCGAGCGAACAGAUGAGGAGCUUGCUCCUCUGACGUUAGCGGCGGACGGGUGAGUAACACGUGGAUAACCUACCUAUAAGACUGGGAUAACUUCGGGAAACCGGAGCUAAUACCGGAUAAUAUAUUGAACCGCAUGGUUCAAUAGUGAAAGACGGUUUUGCUGUCACUUAUAGAUGGAUCCGCGCCGCAUUAGCUAGUUGGUAAGGUAACGGCUUACCAAGGCGACGAUGCGUAGCCGACCUGAGAGGGUGAUCGGCGACACUGGAACUGAGACACGAUCCAGACUCCUACGGGAGGCAGCAGUAGGGAAUCUUCCGCAAUGGGCGGAAGCCUGACGGAGCAACGCCGCGUGAGUGAUGAAGGUCUUCGGAUCGUAAAACUCUGUUAUUAGGGAAGAACAAAUGUGUAAGUAACUAUGCACGUCUUGACGGUACCUAAUCAGAAAGCCACGGCUAACUACGUG